UACGGAGGGAGCUAGCGUUAUUCGGAAUUACUGGGCGUAAAGCGCACGUAGGCGGCUUUGUAAGUCAGAGGUGAAAGCCUGGAGCUCAACUCCAGAACUGCCUUUGAGACUGCAUCGCUUGAAUCCAGGAGAGGUGAGUGGAAUUCCGAGUGUAGAGGUGAAAUUCGUAGAUAUUCGGAAGAACACCAGUGGCGAAGGCGGCUCACUGGACUGGUAUUGACGCUGAGGUGCGAAAGCGUGGGUAGCAAACGGG
rnacentral:rRNA from 1 species